CCGUCGUGCGCGCACGCCGCCUGCGGGGGCGAGGCCUGCCCCGAAUGUCUGUGUGAGGCUUCAACGUGUCUGACGCACCGUGAUGGCACGCAUCCUCUGUGUUCGGAACCGUUGCUGAACAGAUGGGAAAUGGAAGCACGGAAAGAUGAAGCAGUUUGCGAGAGCACUGCCAGGAUCAAGACCCUGCACGAACAAUUCCCCAUCGAUUCAGAAACAGGACUUUUAGGUCAGCUACACCAUUUUUGUACACUAGUAGAAUGGAAAGUUCUGACACUA